AACGAACGCUGGCGGCAGGCCUAACACAUGCAAGUCGAGCGCCCCGCAAGGGGAGCGGCGGACGGGUGAGUAACGCGUGGGAACGUACCCUUUGCUACGGAAUAGCCUCGGGAAACUGGGAGUAAUACCGUAUGUGCCCUUGGGGAAAGAUUAUCGGCAAAGGAUCGGCCCGCGUUGGAUUAGGUAGUUGGUGGGGUAAUGGCCUACCAAGCCGACGAUCCAUAGCUGGUUUGAGAGGAUGAUCAGCCACACUGGGACUGAGACACGGCCCAGACUCCUACGGGAGGCAGCAGUGGGGAAUAUUGGACAAUGGGGGAAACCCGUGAUCCAGCUACGCCGCGUGGGUGAUGAAGGCCUCGGUUGUAAGACCGUCGUCGAGGGACGGAAGGUACGUGA
rnacentral:rRNA from 1 species